rnacentral:misc_RNA from 1 species
GGGCAAAAGAGUAAAUAGAGAAAAAAAAAAAAAAACAAAGGAAGGGGACGAGCGUUGCUUGAAUUUCAAGCAUUGGAAGGUCCGAACAACGUAUUAAGCACCUAACCCCUGCCAGUUGCCACCCCUCCUCCCACACGCAUACCGCAUACCUUUGGAAAAUUCUCUGCGUUUUGCUGGGAAGUAAACGGAAAACUGGUAAAAUUUAAGCUUAAUGGCCAGCAGCUCAGCCGCGACCUUGGAAGAUGUGCCCUCUGUGGAUCUCAUGACGGAGCUCCUCCGUCGCAUGAAGUGCUCCACUAAGCCUGAUAGGCGCCUCAUUCUCAUCGGUCCUCCUGGAUCAGGUAAAGGUACUCAAUCACCAAUUAUUAAGGAUGAGUACUGCUUAUGCCACUUGGCUACUGGUGAUAUGUUGAGAGCUGCUGUUGCUGCUAAAACCCCUCUUGGUGUUAAGGCUAAGGAGGCUAUGGACAAGGGUGAACUUGUAUCUGAUGACUUGGUUGUUGGCAUUAUAGAUGAAGCAAUGAAGAAGCCUUCAUGCCAAAAAGGUUUCAUUCUUGAUGGAUUUCCUAGAACUGUGGUCCAAGCACAGAAGCUUGAUGAGAUGCUUGGG